rnacentral:lncRNA from 1 species
UUUUUUGAGGCAAAAAAUCCCUACCAAACGGGGCCUUAAUAUGCAUGCACUUAUUGGAAUUAGAAUUGUAACCUAACGUCAAAAUCAUUAUGUUCCAACUAAUAUUUUUCAUAUUUAAUUGCCUUGAACCUCCAACAUAUUACAAUAAAUCAUUAUGUUAGACGCAUAAAAUCAAACUUUCGACAAGGUACAGAAGUUCUAUAUUUGGCAUGACAUAUUCUACUAUACUCGACAAUAUUACAAAGGAAAUUAACGAAAUUAUCAUUUACUGCUUUUCAAACAUACUUCUACACAUUCANN